rnacentral:rRNA from 1 species
UAGGGAAUAUUGCAAAAUGGGCGAAAGCCCGAUGCAGCAACGCCGCGUGGGCGAUGAAGGCCUUCGGGUCGUAAAGCCCUUUUUGAGGGGAUGAGGAAGGACAGUACCCUCAGAAUAAGCCUCGGCUAACUACGUGCCAGCAGCCGCGGUAAUACGAAGGGGGCUAGCGUUGUUCGGAAUUACUGGGCGUAAAGCGCACGUAGGCGGCUUUCCAAGUUGGAGGUGAAAUCCCCGGGCUUAACCCGGGAACUGCCUCCAAAACUGAAAGGCUAGAGUCCGAGAGAGGUGAGUGGAAUUUCCAGUGUAGAGGUGAAAUUCGUAGAUAUUGGAAAGAACACCAGUGGCGAAGGCGGCUCACUGGCUCGGUACUGACGCUGAGGUGCGACAGCGUGGGGAGCAAACA